rnacentral:misc_RNA from 1 species
GCGGGCCCGCCAGCCUUCGGGCUGGCCGCCGGGGGGCGUCUCGCCCCCGGGCCCGUGCCCGCCGGAGACCCCAACAUGAACCCUGUUCUGAAAGCUUGGUGUCUGAGUGUGAUUGUUUGCAAUCAGUUAAAACUUUCAACAAUGGAUCUCUUGGUUCCGGCAUCGAUGAAGAACGCAGCGAAAUGCGAUAACUAAUGUGAAUUGCAGAAUUCAGUGAAUCAUCGAGUCUUUGAACGCACAUUGCGCCCCCUGGUAUUCCGGGGGGCAUGCCUGUCCGAGCGUCAUUGCUGCCCUCAAGCCCGGCUUGUGUGUUGGGCCCUCGUCCCCCGGCUCCCGGGGGACGGGCCCGAAAGGCAGCGGCGGCACCGCGUCCGGUCCUCGAGCGUAUGGGGCUUUGUCUUCCGCUCUGCAGGCCCGGCCGGCGCCCGCCGACGCAUAACAACUUUUUUUCCAGGUUGACCUCGGAUCAGGUAGGGAUACCCGCUGAACUUAAGCAUAUCAAUAAGCGGAGGA